UGGUCUUAGCUUGCUAAGGCCGAUGGCGACCGGCGCACGGGUGAGUAACACGUAUCCAACCUGCCGUCUACUCUUGGACAGCCUUCUGAAAGGAAGAUUAAUACAAGAUGGCAUCAUGAGUCCGCAUGUUCACAUGAUUAAAGGUAUUCCGGUAGACGAUGGCCUCGCGUCUGAUUAGCUAGUUGGCGGGGUAACGGCCCACCAAACCGACGAUGGAUAGGGGUUCUGAGAGGAAGGUCCCCACAUUGGAACUGAGACACGGUCCAUACUCC
rnacentral:rRNA from 1 species